CCCCUCUCAGGGUCAUACCUGAAGAGUUUCCAUUACUCUAACAGUCUCGACUACUAGAGGGAGGGUCAAGCAGAGGCCUACCCAUUCCAUUCCUAGCCUGGGCAGUGGCUAGAGAGUGGAAGGCAAUCUGUUACAAGU